UACAGAGGGUGCAAGCGUUAAUCGGAAUUACUGGGCGUAAAGCGCGCGUAGGUGGUUUGUUAAGUUGAAUGUGAAAUCCCCGGGCUCAACCUGGGAACUGCAUGCAAAACUGGCAAGCUAGAGUAUGGUAGAGGGUGGUGGAAUUUCCUGUGUAGCGGUGAAAUGCGUAGAUAUAGGAAGGAACACCAGUGGCGAAGGCGACCACCUGGACUGAUACUGACACUGAGGUGACGAAAGCGUGGGGAGCAACAGG
rnacentral:rRNA from 1 species